rnacentral:rRNA from 1 species
UACGUAGGGUGCAAGCGUUAAUCGGAAUUACUGGGCGUAAAGCGUGCGCAGGCGGUUUUGUAAGUCUGUCGUGAAAUCCCCGGGCUCAACCUGGGAAUUGCGAUGGAGACUGCAAGGCUAGAAUCUGGCAGAGGGGGGUAGAAUUCCACGUGUAGCAGUGAAAUGCGUAGAGAUGUGGAGGAACACCGAUGGCGAAGGCAGCCCCCUGGGUCAAGAUUGACGCUCAUGCACGAAAGCGUGGGGAGCAAACGAGGAUACGAAACCCGA